AUGGUGAUCCGCCAGGCCUUGUCGGCCGGGUUUAGCCACGCCGUCGUCGGGUCGCGGAAGUCCGUGAGCCCGAUGCCCGGCGGCGGCACCAGCACGGGGUUCGCCUCCGACUUGGCCCAGCGCCGCAGCAGCGGGUCGGACGGGUCCGCCGGCUCGGCCAGGAGCUGCACCUGCACGCCGUCCUCCGUGGAGCCGGUGUAG
rnacentral:rRNA from 1 species